rnacentral:lncRNA from 1 species
UAAGAUCAUGGCAAAGUAUGAAGGUUCUAGAAGACUUUGGAGAUAUCAAGAGCUUAGAGUUGACAUGAUUCAUGGCAGCUUAUGAAUACUCUAGAAUAAGAUAUUUAUAUGGUAGGAUAAGGACGAGAGAAAAUUUUAGAGUUAGAUAUUUAUAAAGAAGAGUAUGGAAGUUACCACAUGGCAACACCACAAGGAUCAUGAUCACCUAUAAAUCAUCUAAGGGGUUGUAUGUUCUCCCAAGUUCUGAGUACACCAUAAGCCCACCUGACUAGGGGUUGUAUGUCCUUCCAAGUUCUGAGUACACCAUAAGUCCACCUGACUAGGGGUUGUAUGUCCUCCCAAGUUCUGAGUACACCAUAAACCCACCUGACUGUACAACAUGAAAAUAAGUAGAGGUGCGCAUCGACUUUUAAAACUAAAAGGAUAGAAAAUAUUAGCGGCCACACCUUGCUUCCACAAACAAGAAUCACAAGUCACCCUGAAAAUUGAUAGAAGAAAAAAACAAUGUCAUUAAAAACAAAAGGAUUCAAAUGCUGCAAUGUUACGGAUAACACAUUUUUAUGGACAAACACCAUUUACCUUCAUAAGAGAUCACGUCUUCCUUGUUUUCAUCCUAUUUGGUGAUAGUGUCAAUGCUAACUUGGGGAAUUAUUUGCAGAGGCAUGGUCUUGCAUCUAUAACCACAUAACAUAAACAAGUAAGAACAAAUAUGUAUGUUCAAGAACCAAGUUCGAAUCUCAUAUUAGCCAAACUUACUCGAUCGGAACCUUCAAAACAACCCCAUGCAGUGGACAACCUAUAAAAGAGAACUUUCACUAACUAAUUUGUAAAGCAGAGAACAAUAUAUUUAAGAAACAAAAAAUCUUACAUUCCUUCUACGCCAUAUUCGAUGACAAUGGCUCAGAUUGACUUGGCAAUGUGUCUCUCAAGGCAUC